rnacentral:rRNA from 1 species
UACGUAGGUGGCAAGCGUUAUCCGGAAUUAUUGGGCGUAAAGAGCGCGCAGGUGGUUGAUUAAGUCUGAUGUGAAAGCCCACGGCUUAACCGUGGAGGGUCAUUGGAAACUGGUCGACUUGAGUGCAGAAGAGGGAAGUGGAAUUCCUAGUGUAGCGGUGAAAUGCGUAGAUAUUAGGAGGAACACCGGCGGCGAGGGCGGCUUACUGGACGAAGACUGACGUUGAGGCUCGAAAGCGUGGGGAGCAAACAGGAUUAGAUACCCGUGUAGUCCCU